UACGUAGGGACCAAGCGUUGUUCGGAUUUACUGGGCGUAAAGGGCGCGUAGGCGGCGCGGUAAGUCACUUGUGAAAUCUCUGAGCUUAACUCAGAACGGCCAAGUGAUACUGCAGUGCUAGAGUGUGGAAGGGGCAAUCGGAAUUCUUGGUGUAGCGGUGAAAUGCGUAGAUAUCAAGAGGAGCACCUGAGGUGAAGACGGGUUGCUGGGCCAACACUGACGCUGAGGCGCGAAAGCCAGGGGAGCAAACGGG
rnacentral:rRNA from 1 species